rnacentral:pre_miRNA from 1 species
CCCACACCUAUGUGUGCAGGACCCUAAACGAUCACCAUUAAAUUUGAUACAGAUCUCUAGAAAAAUUAUCAUACGGGUGUGGGACUUGACUUUUCUAGAGAUCUGUGUCAAAUUUAAUGGUGAUCAUUUGGGGUCCUACACACAUGGGUGUGGG